AUGUUUGAACUUGAAAGAAAUAUUAUGUUCCCUCUGGUUUAUCACCUUAUUGAGUUGGGGUUGCUUCUACCAGUGGCAACGGCAUCGGUUGAAAGGGCCUUCUCAGCAAUGGAGAUCAUCAAGACCGAUUUGCGCAGCAAGAUGUCCAAUGGUUGGCUUGAUGACUUAAUGGUGUGCUACACAGAGAGAGAGAGAGAGAGAGAGAGAGAGAGAGAGAGAUUUAAAGGACUUGAUCUUGCUAAAAUGAAAAAAGAAUUUCAACAUGAAGGUAGAAGAAUGUCAUUGCCACGUUCUAUUUAA
rnacentral:rRNA from 1 species